rnacentral:rRNA from 1 species
GAUGAACGCUGGCUACAGGCUUAACACGUGCAAGUCGAGGGGCAGCAUUCCGGUUGCUUGCAACCGGUGAUGGCGACCGGCGCACGGGUGAGUAACGCGUAUCCAACCUUCCCGCGACCAAGGGAUAACCUGCCGAAAGGCAGACUAAUACCUUAUGUCCUCCUUUGAAGGCAUCUGACGAGGAGCAAAGAUCCGUCGGUCACGGAUGGGGAUGCGUCCGAUUAGCUUGUUGGCGGGGCAACGGCCCACCAAGGCUUCGAUCGGUAGGGGUUCUGAGAGGAAGGCCCCCCACACUGGAACUGAGACACGGUCCAGACUCCUACGGGAGGCAGCAGUGAGGAAUAUUGGUCAAUGGGCGGAAGCCUGAACCAGCCAAGUAGCGUGCAGGACGACGGCCCUACGGGUUGUAAACUGCUUUUAUGCGGGGAUAAAGUUGCCCACGUGUGGGUUUGCAGUACCGCAUGAAUAA